GAAAACUGAAACGAAGAGAAGAUGUGAUACAGGAACAUCGAGCCUAAACUGAGAACAGCCAGAUGUGGAUCCCUGUGUUCCGUAAGUGGCAGGAAUCUCAAGUCUCUCCAAGUACUCCACCUGUCUUUGCUUUCCUACCCCACCGAUCCUCCAGAGCACCAUGUAAGCUGAAGAUGCAUGUGGAGGAACAAUGAGAGGAUCCAGGGGCAUCAUGUCAAGCCCUGGUUUUCCUAAUGAGCAUCCUAACAAUGCUGACUGCACUUGGACCAUUGUAGCAGAGCCUGGGGACACAAUUUCACUCAGUUACUGAUUUCCGAAUGGAAGAAAAGUAUGAUUACUUAGAAAUAGAAGGUUCUGAGCCCCCUACAGUAUAGUAAGUAGAUAGUUUCCUUUAAUCUAGCAUUGUUGCCAUUGACUGAGGUAAACAUCUCUAAGUGGACCUUUAAAGCUUGAGGUAUUUAAAAUAACUUACAGGGAAAUUAUAAGGGGCAAUUGUUAGAGCUGAGGGAUAUUUUUGAAGAUUAAGAUACUGAUAUUAAAUCAAUUGUUUCUUUGAAAGAUGGAACUUUCCAUUAGUAUUUCUUUAUCACUCAGUGAAAAGUAAUAUGACUUUAUCAAAACUUGUAUUAAGGAAUAAAAGUUGUUCCUAAUGUAACCUGCAUUGUAUUCCUUAGCAUGCCAGGCCAUACUUAGUGGUUUCUUUCAAAUUAGUUUAAUAGUUGUAGAAGUAAUUUGCCUUUGUUUUUGUAGAUAGAUCUUUUAUGUAGCUUGUUAUCUGAUGGCAAAAAUUAAAUUCUAUGAUAUGGGUGAGUUUGGUCUGUUUCUUUAGAGACUAUGGUCUUAUAAGAAUUAAAGAGUUUUUAGAAUGUGCUUUUAAGGUAAAAUAUUUUUACAAAAGAACAUAUUCAUGCUAUUUAAAAAUAUGAAUGUGUCAAUAUCAGUGAAGUGUAAAAUAGAUUAUGAAUCAGUAAUUGAAUGAAGAAUGAUGAGAUUGCUUAAGUAAAGAAAUGUGUAAACACUAGGCUAGGAAGGGCCUUUGAGGCCAAGUAAAGGAUGUGAUCAGAACAGUGGGAAUUCAUUAAAGUGUUUUGUCAAAAACAAUUGCAUGAAUAGGUUUGGAUUUUCAAAUUAUUAUUACUGAAGUGUAAAUAUUGAUUGAAGUGUGGCUCAGUUAGCUGUAGGAAGAUCACUUAAAAGAUGAUUGCUGAAAAAUCAUGGUAGCUCAGAUUAGGAUGGUAUUGAAAAAGAAGUAGAAUGGGUUGAGAUAUAUUUAGGAGGUGUAAUGAAAAGAACUCUAAUUGAGUAGCGAUAAGAUGAUAUUUACAACUAAAACAUUUUCUAACUUGCAAAAUUUGGUAAAGGCAGUAGAAAUACUGAGUUGGAAAACGUUGAAGGGAAGUCAAGUUUAGAGUGGAAAUGCUAUGAAUAUUGAGGUUUGUUUUAGAUAUAUUUAGUUUGAAGUUUCUUUGAGAUAUGUUAUUAAAGCCAUCCAAAAGACAGAUAUAACUAUAUGAUACAGAAGCUCUGAGAAGCAUAACUGAUAUGUAGUUCACAUUGAUGGUAACUGAACCAGUAGGCAUCAGUAAUGUUGGUUAAAUAGAGACAGGAUAGAAUGAGAAGACAGGAGGGGACUAGGACUGAGUCUGAGCAUCAACAACAUAUAAGGCCCAGGCUUAUGAAGAUGAUUCAGUAAAGGAGCCUGAGGUAGUAUAUUCAGAGAGGCAGGAGAAAAUCUAAGGGAAUAAGGUAUCAUACAGACAAGAGAAGUAUGGAAAAGAAAAAGUUGACAACAUUGUGGAUUGCUGCUGAAAAUAUACUAAAUUUUUUUGAAAACGUGUUAACAGUUGGCUGUGCUUGAACAAAAAUACCAACUGUUUUUAUCAUGUCAGUGCAUAACUUUAAAGAUAAGACAAAAAUAGCACAGUCAACUAUGUCCAUUUUGUUUUUUGUUUGUUUUGUAUUUUCUUCUACCUUCUUCUAUCUCUACUUUCAAGACACCAGUACUCAGUGGCAUAUAACUUUAACUCUUCCCAUGCAAACUUCAUGCCUGGGUGCAAUGAAACCUUCAGAAUCCUGGUUUAAGAUGCGAGAUAAUUCAAAAACUGAUGUUUUAGAAAUUGCUAUUCUAUAGUGAUACAUCAUAUCUGAGUCUUAUGAAGGUUGAAUUUUUUUAUAAUGUCAUGAGUUUUCCAAUUAUUGUAUCUGUAGAUACACAAGUGAUUCCAUUAGAAAUGAAGUUUUUAAACUUAAAAAAUAUUUGACUACUAGUUAUAAUAAAGGAAACUAGAAAGCAGUGUUUUGUAGUACAUUUUCUUUUUACCAUUGAACUCUAGAAACCACAUCAAUCAAACACAUGUACUCUAGAGAUCAUAGUAUCACCAUUUAUGUUCAUAGAGUCACUUUCUCUUUUCAGAUUAAACAUUCUUGGUUAAUGAUUUGUAUGUUU